AGUGAACGCUGGCGGUAGGCCUAACACAUGCAAGUCGAACGGCAGCACAGUAAGAGCUUGCUCUUACGGGUGGCGAGUGGCGGACGGGUGAGGAAUACAUCGGAAUCUACUUUUUCGUGGGGGAUAACGUAGGGAAACUUACGCUAAUACCGCAUACGACCUGCGGGUGAAAGCAGGGGAUCUUCGGACCUUGCGCGAUUGAAUGAGCCGAUGUCGGAUUAGCUAGUUGGCGGGGUAAAGGCCCACCAAGGCGACGAUCCGUAGCUGGUCUGAGAGGAUGAUCAGCCACACUGGAACUGAGACACGGUCCAGACUCCUACGGGAGGCAGCAGUGGGGAAUAUUGGACAAUGGGCGCAAGCCUGAUCCAGCCAUACCGCGUGGGUGAAGAAGGCCUUCGGGUUGUAAAGCCCUUUUGUUGGGAAAGAAAAGCAGCAGGUUAAUACCCCGCUGUUCUGACGGUACCCAAGGAAUAAGCACCGGCUAACUUCGUG
rnacentral:rRNA from 1 species